CGCUGAAAUGUGACCGUUAAAAAUCUCGUGAACGUGAACGCGCAGCGCGCGGCCGCCGGGACAAACGGCUCAGAUGCAAAUGAACAGUUUAAUAAAUGACAGAAAAUCAAACCGACAGCGUUUUUAUUUCCUUAUUACAGUUUAGGGUUCGAUAUUCAGAACAAAGUUCGUGGGUGUGACGGGAGGAAUGUACCAGGUUCGCUGCAAUUUUCAGAAAAUGUUUAGGAGUAUACAGCAAGCUUCUGAGCUGUGACCUCAACCCCACCUCUGGAUUGAAUCAGAAUGUUGACUGUGAGCCAGGGCUUCUAAUUCAACAUCAGUGAACUAACUGAAUGGGCACUAAUUCCCUAAUAUGUAAAGUUCCAGAGCGCACUGGGGAUUUGAGCAUAUCCAAACUGACUGCAAAAGCUGGAACAAUAACAAAUGAUUAUUUAAACAAAAACCCUAAAGGUGAUACGUCUACGUCUAACAAUAUUGUUCGGGUGGCCACAGCAGAUCAUUUGUCUUCAUCUUGCCUUGUCCUGAACGUUCUCCCCUGUUACACCGACCACCCAUAUGUCCUCCAUUACCACAUCCAUAAACCUCCUCCUUGGCCUCGCUCUCCACCUCCUGCCUCGUGGCUCCGAACUAAUAAAGUGAAAACGAGUUUGGAAUAAAUACACAUUAGCAUUUUCUUACAGUGUUACUUAAAUAGAUUUUUGUUAGUAUAGAAGAUUUAUUCAAUUUGACAGUAUUUGCCAAAGUCUAGAACUACAGUAAUUCUGCUUAAAGGUGUGGUCAGUGAUUUUUAUUCAGAAAUGUUGGAGGAAAUAACUGGGUCUCUGUCAUGCUCUGCAAACUUGAGGAAAAAACAAGAGGUGUCAGACAAUAUUAAACCAGUCAGAACAUGUGGAAUGUUUUAUUCACCUGUUCAUUAUGUGUAAA